UGGAGGUCGCUGCAGAUGCAGGGUCUAAAAAGUCACGGAUACUCCUGCAGACAACUGGGACAAUCUCCAUGCUCACUUAACUUUCCUGUGGCUGAACCGAUUUUACCUUUAUUCAUGUGCAGCUUUUGGAAUCAGCCUUUGGUUUUGCUUCCAGUUCCUCAACAAAGCCAAAGAGCAGCUGCUGAAAAAGAACAGCAAGAUCCAAGCCUCGACAAAGUCCAUGUAGCCGGAGUGAAGGUAUUCUAUGGUUCCCAGACUGGAACAGCAAAGCGGUUUGCACUGGUACUUACUGAAGCUGUUGCCUCCAUUAAUUUGCCAGCAGAAAUUAUUGACAUGCAAGAUUAUGAUCCAGAUGACUCUCUCAUAGAUGAGAUAAGCAGCCAGAAUAUCUGCGUGUUCUUAGUUGCCACUUACACUGACGGCAAACCAACAGAGAACGCUGCAUGGUUCUGCAAAUGGCUGGAAGAAGCAGCCAAUGACUUCAGAGUUGGCAAGGCAUAUCUGAAGGGUUUGCGAUAUGCUGUCUUUGGUUUGGGAAAUUCAGUGUAUGCUGACCACUUCAACACUGUGAGCAGGAAUGUUGAUAAGUGGCUGUGGAUGCUGGGUGCUCGACGCAUUUUGUCAUGUGCUCGAGGGGACAGCAAUGUGGUGAAGAGCCAGCAUGGAAGCAUUGAGGCUGAUUUUGAGGUUUGGAAGGCCAAGUUACUCACGAGGCUUCAAGCUCUUGCCAAAGGGGAACAGAAGGCCUGUAGUGGGAGAUGCAAAAAAGGGCCCUGUAGAUCCAAAUCAAAAGUGAGCCAAGAAGCAAAAGAACAAGAGACCUCAAAGCAGGUGGAGAAAGAAGAGGAGGAUUUCUUUGAAACCACAAGUGAGGAGGAAUCUGAUACAGAGAAUGGUAGAGGUGCAGAGCAGGUUGUGGAUGUUGAAGAUUUGGGCAAAGUGAUGGGCCAAAUGAAGAAAUCUCAGAAAGAGCAUCAGAUCGACGGAGAGGUUCCCAUUGGAGUUGGAACUCAACAUGGCAGAGGGGAGGAUGAGAGAAGGGAGAUGAUCACUCCUGCUCUUCGAGAUGCACUCACAAAGCAAGGUUAUAGAUUAAUUGGGAGCCAUUCUGGAGUGAAGCUUUGCCGUUGGACAAAGUCGAUGCUUCGUGGGAGAGGAGGCUGUUACAAGCACACCUUUUACGGCAUUGAAAGCCACCGCUGUAUGGAGACCACACCGAGCUUGGCUUGUGCUAAUAAAUGUGUCUUCUGUUGGAGACACCACACAAAUCCUGUUGGCACUGAGUGGCGAUGGAAGAUGGACCAGCCAGAGAUGAUCUUGAAGGAGGCCAUUGAGAACCAUCAGAAUUUGAUCAAGCAGUUUAAAGGAGUCCCUGGCGUGAGAGAUGACCGCUUCAGAGAAGGGAUGGAGGCCAAGCAUUGUGCACUGUCUCUUGUUGGGGAGCCAAUCAUGUACCCCCAGAUCAAUCAGUUCCUGAAGCUGCUGCAUCAUCACAAUAUUUCAAGUUUUUUGGUUACAAAUGCGCAGUUUCCAGAGGAAAUUAGGAAUCUCCAGCCUGUCACGCAGCUGUAUGUCAGUGUGGAUGCCAGCACCAAAGAUAGUCUGAAGAAGAUUGAUCGACCUCUCUUUAAAGACUUUUGGCAGCGGUUUCUAGACAGCUUGCAAGCCUUAGCUGAAAAGCAUCAGCGCACCGUAUACAGAUUAACCCUGGUGAAGGCUUGGAAUGUGGAGGAGCUGAAAGCUUAUUCAGACUUGGUGUCUCUUGGCAAGCCAGAUUUCAUAGAGGUUAAGGGUGUGACUUACUGUGGGGAAAGUUCAGCCAGCAACCUCACCAUGGCCAACGUCCCUUGGCAUGAAGAAGUGAAGCGCUUUGUGCAAGAACUGGCUGACCUCCUCCCAGACUAUGAAAUUGCUAGCGAACACGAGCACUCCAACUGCCUCCUCAUUGCCCACAAGAAGUUCAAGAUCGAAGGAAAAUGGCACACCUGGAUUGACUAUGAUCGCUUUCAAGAAUUGGUUCAUGAAUAUGAACAAAGUGGAGGAAUUAAAACAUUCACAUCUGCUGACUAUGUAGCAUUGACUCCUUCUUGGGCAGUGUUUGGAGCUAAGGAAAGAGGCUUUGACCCAACGGACACAAGAUUUCAACGAAAAAAUAAAACAAAGGACAUCUCCGGAUGCUGACAACUUUCAAAUUGGACCAUUUUUAAGCCAGGGCUAAAGAUACAAUCAGAAUUUUUGGUUUGUAGACAUCAGAAAGUGUUGCAUAAAACUUGAGACUUCUGUUUCUCUUGGGGAUAUCCAAAGUGUUUUUUUCUUUUAUUCUACCCAGAGGAAAAUGAAUGGUAGCAGCACAUGCAAUAGUUUACAGAUUGACGGGUUCUGCCUGAGGGUACAUAAAGUCUGUCUUUUUACUGAUGGGAUAAGACAUCCUUCUCCUGGUGGUGUCCACCAAGUUUAUUGAAACUACAACUCCCAGAAUUCCUCGGCAGUCAUUGGGGAACACAUUUGGAGGGUACUAGAUUCGAAAGGUUGAUAUAAGAUGUGACAAUUCCAUUUCUACAAAUACCUUAAGACAGAGGUUGGCCAUUUAGCAUCUGCAGGUAUCUUUUUCACCUCCCCUGUUUAGUCCAAAAAGGAUUUUAUAACCUUGGGGGACCACAGCAAUUAUUCUGUUAAAAAAAAUAAACCAGGACUUUCAGCUACAAACAUCUCAAAUUUCCAAACCUGCUCAUUGUGCUUGAAAUCACAUGAUUAUUUUUGCAUGACAAAAGAAAAGAAACGUAUUUUAUAUUGAAAGCCAAAGUAAUUAUGUUAACUAUGAGGAAAAAGUAUCUUUACAGUAAGAGUUCAAGCUCUGGGUUUCCAAGAAAACUUCAUCAGUGACUUUUGAAAAGGAAAGGAAAGUUGCAAUUGAUUUUAAAUGACUAUUUAAUGGUAAAGGCAAUAGAAAAACUAAAAGGAAAAUGGUUGGACUGUGUAUGUGUUUUAGAUUUCAAGUUUAAGAUUUGUCAGUGCAGAGGGAGUGCACAUAACUUCUCUGUGAUCCCUUAAACCCGGGGUGUCAAACUCAAUUUCAUGGAGGGCUGCAUCAGGGUUGUGUUUGACCUCGGAGGGUUGGUGUGUGUGGUCAGGGUGGGCGUGGCCAGCUCAAUGUCACUCAUGUCGGCACCUGUGGUAGCUCCAGCGCUUUGCCAGUGAAAACGGAGUUUGGGAGGGCCACGCACAGCCUGUUCUGACCUGUGCUUCCCCAAAACACGAAGCCGAGUCCUCGUCCCGACGAAAAACCCUUUUAUUUAAUUUACAGUGAAUUUCUCUACAGCAAAGUCUUUCUUCUCCCACAGUCUUUCAAGAUAGUUCACAAUUACCGACCUUUAUCAGGCUUGGAGAGUGGCCAGGCCGAUACCUUUCAGACGCUGCAAUAUUUGGCAAGAAUGUAGUAAUGAACCAAUUGUUUCCUGCAAAUUCCACUCCCCUUUCGCUCCACUUUUAUUUCCUCUGGGAGGAGCCAUUCAUUGUUCACCUGUGGCCUUACUCCCAAGUCAACCCUUGUUCUUUAGCUGUUCCCUUCAUCUGGCAACUCUGCACAUGCACACACUGGGAACAGGCUCUAGCUGUUCAUCUGCCUCACUGAUGUCUGACUCCAAAGGCAGCUGAUAACUGGCAUACAGCCCUGGCCCCCACUCUGCCUCCAACGCAGAGCCCUCAUCAGAGCCUUUCCCCAGACUCCAGGACUGGCCCAUGUUCCCCCCCAACCUCCUCACUGUCCAAAUCUGCUGCCAGAUCCACUGGCGGGCCAAAACACAGCCUUCCCGAGCUCUGUUUUUGCUGGCAGAGGCACCAUGGGCCGGUCCUUCACUGUUUCUAGGGCAGCCCCGCAGGCCAGAUCUAAGCACCCUGCAGGCUGGAUCUGGCCUGCAGGCCUUGAGUUUGACAUCCCUGGCUUAAACCAAAAAUACCUUUUCCUGAGAUUGCAGUGUGCAGGGCAUCCAUUCAAUCCAUAGGACCAGACUGGUCUAGUAGUUAAGACUAGAAACUAGGAGACUUGGACUAAGCUCUAGUACUGCCUUAGGCCUGAAAAUCGGCUGUGUGACUUUGGGCCAGUCCCUCUCUCUCAGCCUAAGCCAUCUCACAUUAAAUGUCAUAUAUACUGAACAGUUAUUUUCUACAAUAAGGUUUAAUGUUUUGAUAGUUAAUUUUGGAAUCAACACAGUUCAGAUUUCUUUUGGCACAAUGGAAGAGGAGUUACGUUUUUGGCAAUGAUACCUAAUGAUUAUGGGUGUUAUAAACAAAUACUUGGGAAGGUCACCAGAUGAGGUACCUGCACUAAAUGCUCACAGAUAAGCCUUUGACUCUUUUGAUUAACUUUGAUGCUCCUAAUGUCAUCUAGUUAUAUGGAAGAAUACAAGCCCAAUCCAGUAUAAUUCAUCCCUUAUAAUUGCCUCCCUUAUGGCCAAAGAAGGAAAUAGAAGGAAAUUUUAGCAGCUCUUUUACUUUACGCUUUUUCCCCAUUUGGUUUUUGUGAUUAUACUAUUCAGCCCAGUUUGAACAUGUCAUUUUAAAGAAUUCUCUGGAAAUAUUUUAUUUGGUAGUUAUCUUAACAUAGUUUAAGAUAAGAUGAUAAGCUUUUUUGUCAACUUUUUUCUGUAAACACACUGACAUAUUAAAAAUGAAAUUCUGA